rnacentral:rRNA from 1 species
AUCUAGCUUGCUAGAUAUGAUUAGUGGCGGACGGGUGAGUAACAUUUAGGAAUCUGCCUAGUAGUGGGGGAUAGCUCGGGGAAACUCGAAUUAAUACCGCAUACGACCUACGGGUGAAAGGGGGCGCAAGCUCUUGCUAUUAGAUGAGCCUAAAUCAGAUUAGCUAGUUGGUGGGGUAAAGGCCCACCAAGGCGACGAUCUGUAACUGGUCUGAGAGGAUGAUCAGUCACACCGGAACUGAGACACGGUCCGGACUCCUACGGGAGGCAGCAGUGGGGAAUAUUGGACAAUGGGGGCAACCCUGAUCCAGCCAUGCCGCGUGUGUGAAGAAGGCCUUUUGGUUGUAAAGCACUUUAAGCAGGGAGGAGAGGCUAAUGGUUAAUACCCAUUAGAUUAGACGUUACCUGCAGAAUAAGCACCGGCUAACUCUGUGCCAGCAGCCGCGGUAAUACAGAGGGUGCGAGCGUUAAUCGGAAUUACUGGGCGUAAAGCGAGUGUAGGUGGCUCAUUAAGUCACAUGUGAAAUCCCCGGGCUUAACCUGGGAACUGCAUGUGAUACUGGUGGUGCUAGAAUAUGUGAGAGGGAAGUAGAAUUCCAGGUGUAGCGGUGAAAUGCGUAGAGAUCUGGAGGAAUACCGAUGGCGAAGGCAGCUUCCUGGCAUAAUAUUGACACUGAGAUUCGAAAGCGUGGGUAGCAAACAGGAUUAGAUACCCUGGUAGUCCACGCCGUAAACGAUGUCUACUAGCCGUUGGGGUCCUUGAGACUUUAGUGGCGCAGUUAACGCGAUAAGUAGACCGCCUGGGGAGUACGGCCGCAAGGUUAAAACUCAAAUGAAUUGACGGGGGCCCGCACAAGCGGUGGAGCAUGUGGUUUAAUUCGAUGCAACGCGAAGAACCUUACCUGGUCUUGACAUAGUGAGAAUCCUGCAGAGAUGCGGGAGUGCCUUCGGGAAUUCACAUACAGGUGCUGCAUGGCUGUCGUCAGCUCGUGUCGUGAGAUGUUGGGUUAAGUCCCGCAACGAGCGCAACCCUUUUCCUUAUUUGCCAGCGGGUUAAGCCGGGAACUUUAAGGAUACUGCCAGUGACAAACUGGAGGAAGGCGGGGACGACGUCAAGUCAUCAUGGCCCUUACGACCAGGGCUACACACGUGCUACAAUGGUAGGUACAGAGGGUUGCUACACAGCGAUGUGAUGCUAAUCUCAAAAAGCCUAUCGUAGUCCGGAUUGGAGUCUGCAACUCGACUCCAUGAAGUCGGAAUCGCUAGUAAUCGCAGAUCAGAAUGCUGCGGUGAAUACGUUCCCGGGCCUUGUACACACCGCCCGUCACACCAUGGGAGUCUAUUGCACCAGAAGUAGGUAGCCUAACGCAAGA